rnacentral:rRNA from 1 species
CUACGGGAUGCUGCAGUGAGGAAUAUUGCACAAUGGAGGAAACUCUGAUGCAGCAACGCCGCGUGGAGGAUGACGCAUUUCGGUGUGUAAACUCCUUUUAUAUGUCAAGAAAAUGACGGUAGCAUAUGAAUAAGCACCGGCUAACUCCGUGCCAGCAGCCGCGGUAAUACGGAGGGUGCAAGCGUUACUCGGAAUCACUGGGCGUAAAGGACGCGUAGGCGGGUUGGAAAGUCAGGUGUGAAAUCCUACAGCUUAACUGUAGAACUGCACUUGAAACUUCUAAUCUAGAGCAUGGGGAGGGGGAGAUGGAAUUAGUGGUGUAGGGGUAAAAUCCGUAGAUAUCACUAGGAAUACCUAAAGCGAAGGCGAUCUCCUGGAACAUUACUGACGCUAAGGCGUGAAAGCGUGGGGAGCAAACAGGAUUAGAUACCCCGGUAGUC